ACGAACGCUGGCGGCGUGGAUAAGACAUGCAAGUCGAACGAGAGAAUUGCUAGCUUGCUAAUAAUUCUCUAGUGGCGCACGGGUGAGUAACACGUGAGUAACCUGCCCCCGAGAGCGGGAUAGCCCUGGGAAACUGGGAUUAAUACCGCAUAGUAUCGAAAGAUUAAAGCAGCAAUGCGCUUGGGGAUGGGCUCGCGGCCUAUUAGUUAGUUGGUGAGGUAACGGCUCACCAAGGCGAUGACGGGUAGCCGGUCUGAGAGGAUGUCCGGCCACACUGGAACUGAGACACGGUCCAGACACCUACGGGUGGCAGCAGUCGAGAAUCAUUCACAAUGGGGGAAACCCUGAUGGUGCGACGCCGCGUGGGGGAAUGAAGGUCUUCGGAUUGUAAACCCCUGUCAUGUGGGAGCAAAUUAAAAAGAUAGUACCACAAGAGGAAGAGACGGCUAACUCUGUGCCAGCAGCCGCGGUAAUACAGAGGUCUCAAGCGUUGUUCGGAAUCACUGGGCGUAAAGCGUGCGUAGGCUGUUUCGUAAGUCGUGUGUGAAAGGCGCGGGCUCAACCCGCGGACGGCACAUGAUACUGCGAGACUAGAGUAAUGGAGGGGGAACCGGAAUUCUCGGUGUAGCAGUGAAAUGCGUAGAUAUCGAGAGGAACACUCGUGGCGAAGGCGGGUUCCUGGACAUUAACUGACGCUGAGGCACGAAGGCCAGGGGAGCGAAAGGGAUUAGAUACCCCUGUAGUCCUGGCAGUAAACGGUGCACGCUUGGUGUGCGGGGAAUCGACCCCCUGCGUGCCGGAGCUAACGCGUUAAGCGUGCCGCCUGGGGAGUACGGUCGCAAGAUUAAAACUCAAAGAAAUUGACGGGGACCCGCACAAGCGGUGGAGUAUGUGGCUUAAUUCGAUGCAACGCGAAGAACCUUACCUGGGCUUGACAUGUAAUGAACAACAUGUGAAAGCAUGCGACUCUUCGGAGGCGUUACACAGGUGCUGCAUGGCCGUCGUCAGCUCGUGUCGUGAGAUGUUUGGUUAAGUCCAGCAACGAGCGCAACCCCUGUUGCCAGUUACCAGCACGUGAAGGUGGGGACUCUGGCGAGACUGCCCAGAUCAACUGGGAGGAAGGUGGGGACGACGUCAGGUCAGUAUGGCCCUUAUGCCCAGGGCUGCACACGUACUACAAUGCCCAGUACAGAGGGGGCCGAAGCCGCGAGGCGGAGGAAAUCCUAAAAACUGGGCCCAGUUCGGACUGUAGGCUGCAACCCGCCUACACGAAGCCGGAAUCGCUAGUAAUGGCGCAUCAGCUACGGCGCCGUGAAUACGUUCCCGGGUCUUGUACACACCGCCCGUCACACCAUGAGAGUUGGGGAUACCCGAAGCCUGUGAGCCAACAUAUCUAUGAGGCAGCAGUCGAAGGUAGAAUCAAUGAUUGGGGUG
rnacentral:rRNA from 1 species